rnacentral:rRNA from 1 species
CACNAUGGGAGUUGGUCUUACCCNACGGCGCUGCGCCAACCGCAAGGAGGCAGGCGACCACGGUAGGGUCAGCGACUGGGGUGAAGUCGUAACAAGGUAGCCGUAGGGGAACCUGCGGCUGGAUCACCUCCUUUCUAAGGA